CAAGCACUUUGAAAAAUUGCGUAACUCAGUGCAGAGCGAAUGCCAUUGUGCUGAGGCACCGUAGGGUUAAUCUCGUAAAGCGGCUAAGCAACUCCUUGGGAUACUUAGGAGCGAAGCAAAAUUCCUUUUUGGUGACAAAUUGGAACUACUUCCUUAAAUGAGGGAGUGCCGUGGGGCGGUGGCGCAAAUUAUAUUCUCAAGUUAGGACGAUGUCUUGUCGCUUCCAUAAUAGACGCCCCUGUGGGGAAUAAUCCUUGUUAGGUGAUUGGGUGGCACCAAUUACAAACCAAGGAAUGCCAAUAAGGAAGUUCGCGGUGACGCCUUAGAAAUAAGGCUAUAAGACAAGGUCGGUGCACAAGUAGCCCAAAGCGCGAAGAAUUUCUAAUGUUUGAUUAAGAAUGGUAUUUUGAACCAUUAUUGCUGAAAACUCUGAAUGGUGGGUGAAAGUUGCGGGUAAUCAAUCCCGUCCGAGAUUAAAGGUGAAGAACCUGUGCCCGUGGAAAACGGGUGGGGCAAGAAGUUAUGGGGUCGCUCCCUAUGGCUCAGACUUGUUUCCUCGGUAGUCUAAUAAACAGAGAAUAUAAUGUUGUAGAGCGAAGGUUCACGCAAUUUUUCAAAAUGUA
rnacentral:ncRNA from 1 species